rnacentral:rRNA from 3 species
CUUGGUGUUACUGCGAAGGGGGGACGGAGAAGGCUAUGUUGGCCGGGCGACGGUUGUCCCGGUUUAAGCGUGUAGGUGUGUGUUCCAGGUAAAUCCGGUUCACUUUAACACUGAGGCGUGAUGACGAGGCACUACGGUGCUGAAGCAACAAAUGCCCUGCUUCCAGGAAAAGCCUCUAAGCAUCAGGUAACAUCAAAUCGUACCCCAAACCGACACAGGUGGUCAGGUAGAGAAUACCAAGGCGCUUGAGAGAACUCGGGUGAAGGAACUAGGCAAAAUGGUGCCGUAACUUCGGGAGAAGGCACGCUGACACGUAGGUGAAGUGAUUUACUCAUGGAGCUGAAGUCAGUCGAAGAUACCAGCUGGCUGCAACUGUUUAUUAAAAACACAGCACUGUGCAAACACGAAAGUGGACGUAUACGGUGUGACGCCUGCCCGGUGCCGGAAGGUUAAUUGAUGGGGUCAGCGCAAGCGAAGCUCCUGAUCGAAGCCCCGGUAAACGGCGGCCGUAACUAUAACGGUCCUAAGGUAGCGAAAUUCCUUGUCGGGUAAGUUCCGACCUGCACGAAUGGCGUAAUGAUGGCCAGGCUGUCUCCACCCGAGACUCAGUGAAAUUGAACUCGCUGUGAAGAUGCAGUGUACCCGCGGCAAGACGGAAAGACCCCGUGAACCUUUACUAUAGCUUGACACUGAACAUUGAGCCUUGAUGUGUAGGAUAGGUGGGAGGCUUUGAAGCGUGGACGCCAGUCUGCGUGGAGCCGACCUUGAAAUACCACCCUUUAAUGUUUGAUGUUCUAACGUGGACCCGUAAUCCGGGUUGCGGACAGUGUCUGGUGGGUAGUUUGACUGGGGCGGUCUCCUCCUAAAGAGUAACGGAGGAGCACGAAGGUUGGCUAAUCCUGGUCGGACAUCAGGAGGUUAGUGCAAUGGCAUAAGCCAGCUUGACUGCGAGCGUGACGGCGCGAGCAGGUGCGAAAGCAGGUCAUAGUGAUCCGGUGGUUCUGAAUGGAAGGGCCAUCGCUCAACGGAUAAAAGGUACUCCGGGGAUAACAGGCUGAUACCGCCCAAGAGUUCAUAUCGACGGCGGUGUUUGGCACCUCGAUGUCGGCUCAUCACAUCCUGGGGCUGAAGUAGGUCCCAAGGGUAUGGCUGUUCGCCAUUUAAAGUGGUACGCGAGCUGGGUUUAGAACGUCGUGAGACAGUUCGGUCCCUAUCUGCCGUGGGCGCUGGAGAACUGAGGGGGGCUGCUCCUAGUACGAGAGGACCGGAGUGGACGCAUCACUGGUGUUCGGGUUGUCAUGCCAAUGGCACUGCCCGGUAGCUAAAUGCGGAAGAGAUAAGUGCUGAAAGCAUCUAAGCACGAAACUUGCCCCGAGAUGAGUUCUCCCUGAGACUUAGAGUCUCCUGAAGGAACGUUGAAGACGACGACGUUGAUAGGCCGGGUGUGUAAGCGCAGCGAUGCGUUGAGCUAACCGGUACUAAUGAACCGUGAGGCUUAACC